ACCAAUCAUGCCUGCCCCUUCUUCUUUUCUCUGCCUUCUCCUCUCACUAUCAUUUGUUUUCCCUUGCUUGCUCAUUUUCUUGCCAAUUUCUCUAGCCAAAACCAUCAACACCACUCGCCCUCCCCGCCAGCUCUCCAUUAACUACUAUGCAAAAACCUGCCCUCAACUUGAGCAACUUGUUGGUUCAGUCACUUCCCAACAAUUCAAAGAAACGCCAGUUUCAGGGCCAGCCACCAUUCGCCUAUUCUUCCAUGACUGCUUUGUAGAAGUAAUCUAAAUUCUACACUACUGUUCAUUAUUUUUCCACGCAUGCACAUUUCAGCCAAAUUUGCCUCACAUUUCAAGCAAUUUCUACAUUGCCAUCUUAAUUACCAGAUAUUAAUUAGUUUUAGGCUUGCAUUGAAUGUAUUAUUGUGUGGAUUAUUGAAGGGUUGUGAUGCAUCAAUCCUCAUAUCAACGAAGCCUGGAAGCAUAGAGUUGGCAGAGAAGAAUGCAGAGGAUAAUAAGGAGUUGAGAGUGGAGGGAUUUGAGAGCAUUAGAAAGGCUAAGGCCUUGGUGGAGAGCAAGUGCCCUGGUGUUGUUUCCUGUGCAGAUAUUCUUGCCAUUGCUGCUAGAGAUUAUGUCCACCUGACAGGAGGACCUUACUACCAAGUGAAGAAAGGGAGAUGGGAUGGGAAAAUAUCAAUGGCAUCAAGGGUACCCUAUAAUCUUCCUCGUGCAAAUUCAACCAUUGAUCAGUUAUUGAAUCUUUUUAAUUCCAAAGGAUUAACACCAGAAGACCUAGUGGUGCUUUCAGGUGCACAUACAAUUGGUUUUGCCCAUUGUAAGCAUUUUAUUAGCCGCCUCUACAAUUAUCAUGGCACCAAGCAGCCCGACCCCGUGAUUGAUCCAAGGCUCUUAAAAGAACUAAGAAUGUCCUGCCCACAAUUUGGGGGAAAUCAAGACAUUGUAGCACCAUUUGAUGUUACCACUCCAUUCUUGUUUGAUCAUGCUUAUUAUGGGAAUUUAGAGGCUAAAUUGGGCUUGUUGGCCUCUGACCAAGCCCUGUUUUUGGACCCACGAACCAAGACCCUGGUUCAGCAGCUAGGAAUGGAUAAGCAAAAAUUCUUCCAAGCAUUUUCACAAGCAAUGGAUAAAAUGGGCUCCAUUGGUGUGAAAAGGGGAAGAAAACAUGGAGAGAAGAGGAAAGAUUGUCGCCUACAUGCAUCAUAGAUACAAUUCGAGCUUGAUAUAUUUGUUUUUCCUAUCAUUUUUCACGGGAAAAAAACUGUUGUUAGGUGUUUUGGGGUUUUCUCAUUGUAUUUGAUGCUUGAGAUUUGUAGGAAAGGCGCUUGUGAAUGCAAGCACAGUGAUACAAAUUUAGCAAAACAAUAUUUGGAAAAAAAAA
rnacentral:misc_RNA from 1 species